GUAGGGUCCAAGCGUUAAUCGGAAUUACUGGGGCGUAAAGCGUGCGCAGGCGGUUGUGCAAGACCGAUGUGAAAUCCCCGGGGCUUAACCUGGGAAUUGCAUUGGUGACUGCACGGCUAGAGUGUGUCAGAGGGGGGUAGAAUUCCACGUGUAGCAGUGAAAUGCGUAGAGAUGUGGAGGAAUACCGAUGGCGAAGGCAGCCCCCUGGGAUAACACUGACGCUCAUGCACGAAAGCGUGGGGAGCAAACAGGAUUAGAUACCCUGGUAGUCCACGCCCUAAACGAUGUCAACUAGUUGUUGGGGAUUCAUUUCCUUAGUAACGUAGCUAACGCGUGAAGUUGACCGCCUGGGGAGUACGGUCGCAAGAUUA
rnacentral:rRNA from 1 species